UACGUAGGGUGCGAGCGUUAAUCGGAAUUACUGGGCGUAAAGGGUGCGCAGGCGGUCCCGCAUGUCGGGCGUGAAAUCCCCGGGCUCAACCUGGGAAUGGCAGUGGAUACUGGGAGGCUAGAGUGUGUCAGAGGAUGGUGGAAUUCCCGGUGUAGCGGUGAAAUGCGUAGAGAUCGGGAGGAACAUCAGUGGCGAAGGCGGCCAUCUGGGACAACACUGACGCUGAGGCACGAAAGCGUGGGGAGCAAACAGG
rnacentral:rRNA from 1 species